ensembl:snRNA U1 U1 spliceosomal RNA
AUACUUACCUGGCAAGGGAGACACCGUGAUCAAGAAGGCGGUUCACCCAGGGCGAGGCUCAGCCAUUGCACUCUGGCUGUGCUGACCCCUGCGAAUUUCCCAAAUGUGGAAAUCUCGAUUGCAUAAUUUCUGGUAGUGGGGGACUGCGUUCGCGCUCUCCCCUG